ensembl:lncRNA
GCGCCAGCUCUCCACCUACGUCAUGGUUCGUUUCCGACAAUUUGUGGCACAGACAAACGCGACGUGCGCGGUUUGCAAAUUGUCGGAAAUUGUCGGAAAUUAGGGAGAUUUCCGGGCGUUUACGGGGACGAAAAGCUCACUUUUCAUGCAGUGGCAUCUAUCGAUUGAGCUACACAGUGCUUCCUAGCCUGUGUAACCUUUGCUGCCGGUCCAGAUUACCUCUAGGUCUGGUGCCGGUAACAAUUGGGGGCUCGUCCGGGAUACUCUAGCGUCCUUACCAGGCUGCGACAUUCGAGAGAGGAGAUAUAGCAGUCGACCAGCCGGGAGGCCACACUCCACCUCAUCCGGACUACAACCAUCCAGGCAGACAUCCAACUUCACCAACCACAGACAUUCCCCUACAACCAGCCGGGAGCUCCACCACUCCAGCAUCGACCAAGUCAUUCACAGCAGGUGUUCGGGGUGCUCACCAUGGGAGGAUGCUACAUUGAAGAAGUGGCCGGCAGCCAGCCGUGGGCAGAUAGGCACAGCUAUAAAUUCCAAGCUUGCAGAGAUGCGAAGAUCCAUGAAAUGAUUUUUUUUCCUUUCCAUUUUUUUGUUGUUUUUGUACAUUUUGAUAGUCCUUAAAUAAAUAAUGUAAAUUUCUACA